UACGUAGGGCGCAAGCGUUGUCCGGAAUUAUUGGGCGUAAAGAGCUCGUAGGUGGUUUGUCGCGUCUGCCGUGAAAGCCCGGGGCUUAACUCCGGGUCUGCGGUGGAUACGGGCAGACUAGAGGCAGGUAGGGGAGAACGGAAUUCCCGGUGUAGCGGUGAAAUGCGCAGAUAUCAGGAGGAACACCGAUGGCGAAGGCAGGUCUCUGGGCAUUAACUGACGCUGAGGAGCGAAAGCAUGGGGAGCGAACAGG
rnacentral:rRNA from 1 species